UACGAAGGGGGGCUAGCGUUGUUCGGAAUUACUGGGCGUAAAGGGCGCGUAGGCGGUGUGUCAAGUCAGGCGUGAAAGCCCCGGCUCAACCUGGGAACCGCGCUUGAGACUGGCACGCUCGAGUUCGGGAGAGGAUGGUGGAAUUCCCAGUGUAGAGGUGAAAUUCGUAGAUAUUGGGAAGAACACCGAUGGCGAAGGCAGCCAUCUGGACCGACACUGACGCUGAGGCGCGAAAGCGUGGGGAGCAAACAGG
rnacentral:rRNA from 1 species